rnacentral:lncRNA from 1 species
AUGACAUCACCUCCAGCAAAUCACAUUAUGUUUAUUCUGUUCAGCCAAAACAUUACACACACAGUGUGUGUGAGAGGGAGGGGCUGUCGCACACACACACACACACACACACACACACACAUACACAGUGGGUGGGGGAGGGGCCUCUCCUCAGCUGCAGCAUCACUGGGCGAGGCUGCAGAGCUGGAUGCGGUAACCAUGGCGCAGCUCUCCUCCUCAGCAUCACCGUCUCUUCGUCGCCGUAGCGACGCCUCAGCCACAGAGAGCCUGUUCUUCUUUGUGUCUGAGAGAAACCAACAGGAGGUCCGCCACACGGGAACCAGACCAGGAACAGACCGCAGCAAGAGGUGGACGUGGGGGGGGAGUGGAGAAGAGGUGGUCAGCUUCCUGGCUCCACCCCCAACAGAUCAGCCAAUCAAUAAGCAGCAGCUCUUUAACUCUACAACCAUCAUGUUUUCACCUGAGAAAGUUUCUUUUAACAACAAGAAGAAGAGUGUUUCGAACAGACGCAGUGUCUCAGGACUCCCUGAAGAACAGCCCUCAGGGGAGACACUGAACUCACCCGUCAGAAGCUCCUCCUUUAGAGCAACCAGCAAGAGCCCCGCCUCCACACCUAAACGGGGGAAGUCCAAUAGGAAGCGAGCACAGACGCACUGCUUCGGACAAGCCACGCCCCCACAACCCCACCACAGAGCCACGACACCUGAGGUCAAAGGUCACAGCACUCUGGACAGGAAGAGCAACGACAAGAAGAUCCAAAAGUCCACCAGCAGAGAGAACAACGCAGGAAUGACGGAUGCAGAGGAAGCUUCUCGUGUUCUGAUGGAGAAACGGCGUUUAGUUCGAGAGCAGAAGGAGGAGCAGAGUAGGCGGAGUCAGCUGGAGGUCAAGGACCAGCCGGAGACAGUGCAACAAGAGGACGAGGAGCGACAUUACAAGGAACAAAGAUGGAAGGAGAUGCAGGAGCAGCUGGACAGAGAUAGGGAGCUGGUUGUUCUUCGAGUUAAAUGUGAAGCUCAGAAGAAGGAACAUGAAAUGCAGAAACUUCAUCUUCAGGCAGAAAAAGAGAGACAGCAGAGGAAGAAGAGGAUCGAUGAAAUUAUGAAAAGGACGAGGAAGAGUGACGUGGAAAGUCCAACAACAGAGUCAGUGUGUCAUGUGACUCCAGAGGACGUCACACUGGGACAGUUGGACACUAAUGUGUGUGUAGAUGAGCUGUCAGAUGGAGUUCAGUCCAUGGAUGUGAGUCCGGUGUCACGUGAUGAGCAGCCCAGCAUUCAGGACUUCUCAUUGGCUGAGGGCACUGUGGGCGUUCCCGUUCCUCUGGACCAAUCAGGCUGUGCCGCCCCUGGAUUAGGCUCCACCUCCUCGCUUGGUGUCGGGGUUUUGAACCGAAACCUUAUUGUGACCUCCCACUGAUGCACAGCUAGUCUACACACUGACCUGGUUAACUAGUCACUAAAUAAUCACUAACACAGGUCAAAGGUCAGCCACUGUCUGUGUGUGGGAACAUUAAAGUGAUGCCCUCUUACUUCACUGUGUGUGUGUGUGUGUGUGUGUGUGCGUGUGUGUGUGUGUGUGUGUGUGUGUGUGUGAAGGAGGUAAAAAAAAGAACUAAAACAUAUUCAAAUCAGAAUAAUAUACGUUCACACAUUUACAUACAAACUGUAUGUAUAUGCAUAUACAUAUUAAUAAUAAUAGGCUAAACAAAUGUAUUUGUAUAGAACAUUUCAUACACAAGUCAACUCAAUGUGCUUUACAUGAUCAAAAAGUACAACAGAAAACAUUCAACAGUUUAAAAUCUACAAGAACAUUAAAAUCAUCAGUAAAAUCAUUUAAAAUCAUCAGUAAAAACAUUAAAAUCAUCAGUAAAAACAUUAAAAUCAUCAGUAAAAUCAUUUAAAAUCAUCAACAUGACCAUAAAUCUCUCUCAAUCAUACACAGUAGAGAAAAACUUUGAUUUAAAAAUGUUCACAUGUGAUGCUGACUUCAGCUCUGCUGCAGUUUGUUCCACUUCUUUGCAGCAUAACAACUAAACACAGCAUCACCAUGGUUACUGUGAGCUCUGGGCUCCACUAUCUGACCUGUGACUUGGUCUUUAUCUUCUAAAGAUCCAGACUCAGAUACUUGCUGACAGCAGUCCUCUUUUCAGUGUUACCAAAGACAAUCACCUCCAUCUUGUCAUGGUUUAGUUGAAGGAAGUUUUCACUCAUCCAUCAGUU